rnacentral:rRNA from 1 species
AUUGAACGCUAGCGGCAUGCUUUACACAUGCAAGUCGAACGAGUGGAGGACGGGUGAAUAAUAUAUCGGAACGUGCCCAGUAGCGGGGGAUAACUACUCGAAAGAGUGGAUAAUACCGCAUACUGUUGGAUCGGCCGAUAUCGGAUUAGCUAGUUGGGGGGGUAAAGGCCAACCAAGGCAACGAUCCGUAGCUGGUUUAAGAGGACGACCAGCCACACUGGGACUGAGACACGGCCCAGACUCCUACGGGAGGCAGCAGUGGGGAAUAUUGGACAAUGUGCGAAACCCUGAUCCAGCAAUCCCGCGUGUAUGAGAAGGCCUUCGGGUUGUAAAGUACUUUUGGCAGAGAAGCGGUAUCUGCCGAAUAAGCACCGGCUAACUACGUGCCAGCAGCCGCGGUAAUUC